UUAUAAAAAGAGCUUCUAAAAGUGUAUUUUCCAGCCCCUGUGUGUAUGGUUCACUUAAAAUAGUUUUUUAGUGAGACUUGAGGUGAUGUCCCAGUGCAUGGAGUCUGUCAGAGAUGAUUGAUACACGUAUAAGAAGCGGAGUGAAAGCUGAAGGAAAGAUAUGGCAUUGCCAGAGUUCAUUUAAAUAGAAAAACUAUGCAUUUAGAUUGAUUUAUUUUUAUGCCAAGAGGUUCUGACAUAAAUAUAGUGAUCUAUAAUGUAUUGACUAUAAUGUCAACAUUAUUUUAAAGCUGACUCGAGGGAAAAAUAUCUCAUUGGUAAUGCUGAAAUAUAAAGCUUUGUUCUGCUGAAGGGGAAAGCCUAUGGACGUAUGAUCAAAACAAGCUCUUUCUUUAAGACCUUUUGUAACGGCUCUUAAAAUUACCUCAGGUUUUUGGUCCUUGCAUCCACCCUAUGCCUGCCAUUAGGUUGGCCAUUGGUAAGCAAUGCUGAUCAGCUUUGUAACACAUUGUGCACACUGUACUACUGAAACUGAUGGGUUACAAACAAAAAGGGCUGUGCUCUUGCCCUAAACCCAUGCACUGGUGAUUUCUUUUUCUUCAAGCUUAUUUUGGAGCUGACCUUGCUAGGGGUAGAACUACCAGUUGUGUUGGGGUGAAAGAACAGCCAUUGAAUGCAAAUGAGAUUCACUCUUUUUCUUUAGUGCCUUCGUUCCUUACCUUCUGCUCUGAAUUUUGCAGUCGGAUCUCUGGAUGCUCAGUGCAGUCUGAUCUUCAGGACCAGGGUCUGCAGCCAUUGGAGUUAUCCGUCGCACGAUGUAUCACGCCUGGCUGAUCCAUUUCCCCUGCUAUUGAGUGGUAGGCUGUGGAUUAGUACCCCGAGCCAACGCAGAGCCUGCAUGGGAGCUUAAUAGGAUCUUGCCUCAUUUUUAAUGGUGAGUUAUGGGCUGUCAUGCAGAAUAUCUGGACACACUUAAUAACUUUCUGAUGACAACUGCAACAAACCUAACAGCUCAGCGACA
rnacentral:lncRNA from 1 species